GGUGGGUUGGCUCAGUGGUUCGAGCGUAGGUCUCGUAACCGAAAGGUUGCGGGAUCGAAUCCCGCUAGAGGCUG
rnacentral:tRNA from 1 species